AAAGUGACAGCUGGAUAAUGUUGUCCUCCAAGAGUCACUGUUGCAUGGCAAGAGGACUAGGGGAGCUGCUGAAGAUGGAUUAAACAGCUGAUACCUGGAAUUAGAGCCUGUCAGAAGUCCAGCUUGACCUCUAUUUACAGACAGCUUUC